rnacentral:lncRNA from 1 species
GGAGGCACAGGUUGUAGUGAGCUGCCGAGAUCGCGCCACUGCACUCCAGCCUGGGCUACAAGAGCUAUACUCUGUUUCAAAAAAAAAAAAAUCAUCCUUAUCAUCUACAUCCCUUUUACAUUAACUGUAUGUCCCAGUGAUCUCCAUUAUGUCUAUUCAUAACACAAUCCAAGAUUUCAUUCUGCAAUUAAUAUUGAAUCUGUUGUGUUGGGCUGACUCAUGUAUGAAUAGUCACGUAUAUUGUAAAUUACACGGAAACCUACCGAGUAGAAAGAUCUCAUAUUGAACCUCAUUUACAUGGAGAUCAGUUAUCAGAGAUUACAGAAAAGAGCCGCUGGCCAGGUAGGUGUUCAAACCAUGCUAAUUUCCUCCCUCCUUUGGGUUUAAGCUGGCAAAAAACACUUGUCCACAUAGACUGCAGAUAUCCUGCCCUCACCAUCAGUAUCAACAACCUAUCAUGACUUUCUUCUUGGUCCACUUAACCCAACCUGUUCCUACUCAAGUCCUCAACUCCAUUUGGAGUUUGUCAAUAUUGAAGAUUCCAUUUGUUUCCUUGAUAUGGUUCAGCUGUGUCCCCACCCAAAUCUCAUCUUGAAUAAUAGCUCCCAUAAUUCCCAUGUGCUGUGGGAGGGACCUGGUGGGAGGAAAUGAAUCAUAGGGGUGAGUCUUUCUUGUGCUGUUUUUGUGGUAGUGAGUAAGUCUCACAAGAUCCGAUGGUUUUAUAAAGGGCAGUUCCCCUGCACAAGCUCUCUUCUCUGCCACCACGCGUUUGCUGUUCAUUCACCUUUCACCAUGAUUGUGAGGCCUCCCAGCCAUGUGGAACUGUGAGUCCAUUAAACCUCUUUCCUUUAUAAAUUACCCAGUCUCGGGUAUGUCUUUAUUAGCAGCCUGAGAACAGUCUAAUACAGUCCUCUAAAGCAAAUUCCUACUGAACACACUAUAGAUCAAAGGCACUGUUAAUGUUUAAAAUAUUGUCUCAUUAGCCUACCUCCUAUUUAUGAACUUUAACUUGCUAUUUUCUUGCUGUUGGAUUAAAAUGAUUUACAAUAUAUAUCUUUUUUUAACUUCCAAUCUCAAAGCCUUUAAAGUAAUUGCUUUCUCUGCUGCUAAUUUUGGCAUCCGUAUGUGAUUAUAAAUGGUUGGCAGGAAGAGGGUGCAGCCCCCUGCAGUCAAGAGGCAGAGACAUGUGCUUGAAGCUUCUCAACAAGGUAUUGAUUUCCACUAAUGCAUUUUUAUCCAUUUUUUUUUGUUCAGCAGAAUACAAUGAUAAACACAUAGAUCUUUUUUUAUGCAGACAGUUGAGUACUGCGGUGCGCACACACACAAACACACACACACACACACAGAGUGCUGGAAUCUUGAAUCAAACAAGUAUUGGAAGUCUGUUUUCUAACCAGACCCCAUUCAGCAAGAGUUUGUUUUCAAAACGCUUGUGCAUUUAGCAAAAUUGGUUCCAUACUCUAUACUACCACAAAAAUUGCUUAGAAAAAAUAUGUUUGAUAUUAUUUAUGUAAUUGUAAAAUAUAUAUUGGUCUGGGAAUAGAAAAAAAAAUCUGAAGACAAAUUUCCAGUAAAAUUGGAAAAGGCUGGGAGGGAGUCCCUCCCUGCUCAGUAACAAUCUUGCCUCUGACAGUACCGGGGCAUGUGCCUUCAGUGUCUCCUACUUUAUCGGUAAAGCAGGGGUAGUGGUGGAUAGCACAGCCUCCUGCAUCAUGAGGCCUAGACGUGACACAUAUAACACACGUGGCUUGGAAUGUGUUCACAAGGGUUACAUAGUAACUGAACAACUGGUGUGUAACUAUUUGUUUAAUUAUCUGCUCCCUGCCCCAUAGAAUGUGAUUCAUCAUGGCCAGGCUGCACCUGCCCGACUCACUGCUGCGUCUCUGUCUUCUGGCCAGGCUCCAUGCACAUUUGUCGAAUUUGUUGUAUUUAAACACUGGAAUAAAAUUAUAUUUCAAAGCCAUGUUUAAAAUUUCACAUAAAAUGGAUUAAAGCUUAAAUUUGUAUACACACAUACAUACAAAGCUGCAGUGUGUAUUUGUAAAAUUGGUUAGUUCCUAAACCAUUCAGUUAAUCACAGGCACCAUUUUCUGAAUAAAAUUAAUUCCUCCUUCCCUUUGCAAGCUUGGCACUAAACGGAUGCUAGAACUAACUGAAGUAAUGUGCUGGCUUAAAGACAUGAAGAAAAGACAACCAGAAGGGUGAACUGUUCACACAGCCUUUGAAAAUUUACUGCUCUGAUUUUAAAUUUAUACUAAAUUUUGGUGGUUUUCCAGUUUGCUUUCCAAUUUUCUCUUUUCUACUUAAAAUCAUAGGUGCAGACUGAAAGCUUACAACUGUUACAUUAAAUCCAGAUGGAUUGGUUUCUUUGCAAUAAUCGUAACUCGUCUCUUCCUCCCACGUUUUUAAUAUUAAGAAGGUGUCUAUACAAAUGCCCUUAGCCACAUUUAUGGUGGUUUCUGAAGAGGAAAAGUGUUCCAUGAAAGAUGCUGGCCCAGAGUUAUCAACUGGAAAUCAGUCCAAGAAAAGAUAGUUUUCUGUGUUAAUAAUUUUUUCUCAGUGCGAUUGAAUUCUUGCAAUGGUUACACACAGAUGACUUUGAUUGAUUUGAAACAUUCUCUCCUCUUCUUCCCCUCCUCCUCCAACUCCUUCUCCUUUCAUCCUUUCUUGGAUUCUUGUGAGAGCCUUCUUCUGGGACAAUUCCCAUUCUAGUUCCAGCCUCAGCACACCUGUCUGGUAUUAGGCUGUGAUUGUUCUCAUCAUUGAAAAAAUAGGGAAACUGAGUUAUCAAAGAUCUUAUUGGUUGAAUUGCUCUGAAUAUCAGACUGCCUAGCCCAACACAGGUAAAAGAGAGUAUCUUAUGUAAUAACAGAGUCAGGUUUCUGAUGAUAAAAUGAAGCCACAAUUUCAUUAAUAUACAAAAUGAUAAUGAGUGAGUAACCAAAAGCCCUCCAAAGCUUACAUCCUAGAGUCCCAAAAUCCCAGAUGCCAGGACUGGGCAUGGCAUGUUCUUUCGUUCCUUAUAAACAGGUGAUAGGAUAAAAAGUGAGCACAGAGAGGACUAGGACACCCUGUCCAGGCUCAAACUAGGUCCGUGAUCAGGUGAGUGUUAUUCCAACUGCCCUUAAGGAAAAUCAGAUUCUUCUCAGAGAUCACGGUUAGUGCUAGUCAUUUAUUCUCCUCUCUCUCCUGGAUCAGAGCCACGGUCUGUGGCUGAGCACAUGACUGUGUGAACUAGGAUUCUUUUGCCAAAGUCAGUUGCAGUGGAGAGGAGCUGCAGGGCCACUUUCUGAACAGUCUGUAUGUGCAUGAAAAUGGUUUCCACUGUGUCGCAAGAAGCAGGAAUGGACCCUUUGUCCCUUAUUUCUAACUGACAGCUGCAAAGAGGAUGUUCAAAGGGCAUCUUGGACCAGGAGGAGGAAGCCCAUUGUGAGGAUGGCAAAGAACAAUAAAUGGAAGGCCCGUGGAACCCUGAGCGGCUGCCCCAUCACUGUCCUCUCCAUCCUUUCCAUGCUUCCCAUGGUGCAUGGCUCUCAGGCUCUCCAAGCACCAUGAGCUCCUGGCGCGUAUGGCCUGGCCCCUGAGUGUGGAGUCUGUGGACUUUAAAUGUGCCUUUACUCAGCCAGCAUCUCCCUGGCUGGGUGCGAUGUUGCGUGGUGUGAUUCCUGACUGCGAUCCUGAGGGUGAAACUCUCUUCUGCUUGCUUCUGCCUUGGCCCUUGGGUCUUCUGUCCCACCUUUCCUGCCAUCCCCUGGUGGUGACAUUAGUGGAUCCCAUGUGAGAAAAGUGUCCAUCAAGAAAGUCAGAGGAAGAAGAAGUCUUUUUUUUUUUUUUUUAGAGAGGGAGUCUCACUCUGUUGCCCAGGCUGGAGUGCAGUGGCACAAUCUCGGCUCACUGCAACCUCCACCUCCGGGAUCAAGCUAUUCUCCUGCCUCAGUGUUCUGAGUAAUCUGGGAUUACAGGCAUGUACCACCAUGCGUAGCUAAUUUUUAUAUUUUUAGUAGAGACAGGGUUUCACCACAUUGGCCAGGCUGUAUUGAACUCCUGACCUCACGUGAUCUUCCCGUCUCAGCCUUAUAAAAUGCUGGGAUUAGAGGCGUGAGCCACUGUGCCUGGCCAAAGAAGAAAUCUUAGAAACUGUUUAGUUCAGGUCUUUCCAAGAAACCUUGUGUGGGUUUUACAACUGUGUCCCAAGAGCAACUACAGAGUGAAGGGGAGAGAGACGUGGAGAACAGGCCUCCAGCAUCCAGCCAAGGGGAGUGGCAGGCACACUGGGAUUUGGUGUAUAUGUUGGGCUUUGGGAAAUGUGUUAUUUCUUUUUCUUUUCUGAAGAAAGCCUUCCAUAGUCCAAAAGUCUCAAAACCACCAAAAUCUAUUCAUUUCAUUUUACAAAUGAGGAAAAUGGGUCUGGGAGAGGUUGACAGGCUCUCAAAAUCACAAUGGUAGAACAUGGCAGGGCCAGAUCCAGGUACCUCAUCUAUUGAUUUUGGGGGCUUCGUCCCACAAGGCCAACAUCCUACCACAUGUUCAUCUGAAUGAAACCCUCCCAGGCCAAAGAGAAUAUAUGAGCUAUGGCUCUAGAAAGACAGCACCAUAAAGCCUGCCGUAGCCUGGAGAAGAAAAUCAUAGAAAUGGACUUCCCGUCACUUUCAUCUACUGUGACCUACACCAACUGUGAAAAUAACAUGAAGAGGAGAGCCAUAGUUUUUGUUCAGUCACACACUCACGAUGUAUGCACAUGUUUCUGGAACACAACCAAAAUGUCAAAAUGCCGUUGAGAAUUGCACCUCACUAACUAACGUGGGCUUUGAAAUUUUAGAAAUUACUUAUGCCAGGCAGUGGUUAGUAAUGCUAGAAUGUUCGCUAGGUUGGUCGAGUUCUAACAAUCUCCCAACAGCAAAUAUUAACUUCAUUAAUUUAGCUCAUUUGAUGUAAUUACUAUUGGUUUUUAGUGUAAGGCAUAAUCUCAAAUCAAUAGAAACUUCAUCGGUUUUGCUCGAACGCGGGACCCUCCUUUAUGACCACGAUUACCUUUGGUGAUGGAAUUUAUGAUUCAGAUACAAAGACCCUCUAACAAAUUUGACUAAAGUGCUUUGGUCCUGAAAUGUCAUCAGUGUAUGAAAAUCGUUAUCCUGUUUUUAUUUCUCCUGAAAGUAUAAUAAUUAUUACUCUGGUAAAUAUUAAUUAUAUAAUACAAAUAUUAUCUUUGCAAAUGUGAAAAAUAAAUGCAUAAUUGACCCUGCCCCUGCCUACUGUGUUGAGGAUUGCACUCUAUUCUCAGCAUUACUCUUGACGUCAUAUAAAGGAUAAAGUUACGGAAUGUCAAUCAGAGACGGUUUGCAAGGCUGUGUCGCUCCAGGACUCAUUCCUCCUCCACCUUGUAUUUCCUCAGCUCCCAGAAGUUGUAUUUUCUUUCUUUCUUUUUUUUUUAGACAGAGUCUCACUCUGUCUUCCAGGCUGGAGUGCAGUGGCAUGAUGUCGGCUCACUGCAACGUCCGCCUCCUGGGUUCAAGUGAUUCUUCUGCUUCAGCCUCCUGAGUAGCUGGGACUACAGGCACUCAUCACCACACCUGGCUAAUUUUUGUAUUUUUAGUAGAGACGGGGUUUCACCAUGUUGGUCAGGCUGGUCUCGAACUCCUGACCUCGUGAUUCCCCCCACCUCGGCCUCCCAAAGUGCUGGGAUUACAGGCAUGAGCCACCAAACCCAGCCCAGAAGUUGUAUUUUAUGUGGCAUAACAAAGCUAUCACAUGAAGGAAAGGGACACAAAAAUAUGUGACUAUGGUGUAAAAGAAAAUGAGUUACACUGUAACAGGAUGAGCACUGGUGUCCCCGAUCCCAGUGGUUAUGACACGGGACCCCUGACCAGGCUUCUGCUUCCCUUCGUAUGGUGGCCAGGAUUUUCCAGCAUCGGGCACGACCUGAGAGAGCUGAGGGACAUGAAGAGGAGAUCCGCCUCGUCCCUUAGGGCAGGGCAUGCACACUUCAUACUAUUUGUUUCUUGGGUCAGAAGUAAAAAAGAAGAGGAGGCAACUAAGUUAGAAUCCAAGUCAUUGUUUCCAAGAAAUUUUGAACCUAGAGCAAUUUAUUGAUGUGGCUUGGCCUCGUUAACACAGACCCCCAGCUACCAGCUAAGGAUUGCCUAGCAUUCGGAGGCAUCCCUUACAGAAGCAAGACUUUCGUCAAACGUUUCUGACAGAAGUCUUGUAUUCUGAAUAUUUAAAUAAUUUCUACCAAUCAAUAAGAAAAAGAUUUGAAAAAUAUAAAAAAUGGACAAAACAUCAGACCAGAUAAUUCAAAGAAGAAUAUAAUAUCCAAGUGUCCAGCAAGCAUUGAAAGGAGCUCAACAGCGUUACUUACAAAGGACGUGCACUUUAAUGUCAGAAUGCAUUAUCUUUACAGAUCCGUGAGAACGGCUACACUUGGAACAAGCUAUCCAACCAAAGCAAAGUUGUCGAUACAAAGAAUUGAAAAGUGUGGAGGAUCUGCAGCUCUGAUAGUUUGCAGAUAAGGGCAGAAGCUGGUGUGCCCGAGCCCUUUAGGCGGUAGGCAUUACGUUGAAAGUGGGUUUAUCCAAUGUUCCAGAGACUCUCUUCCUGUGUGCAUGCAGCAGAAAGAACUGUAAAAGUCUGCAAAGGACACGUAUAAGAAGGCUCACAGAGGCUUCAAUCCCUAAUGCCGUAGCAAAGGAAAAAAACAAUGAAAUAAAAUUUCCCCAUCAAAAGGAGAAUAAAAAUAAAGUGGUUUAUUCAUAAACAAUGGAACAUUAUAAAUAAGAAAGAUUAAACCAUGGAUGGACACAAUUCUAAGACAUCAUGCUGAUCAAAAGAAGCCAUCCAUGAAUGAGCAACAAUUGUAUAAAGCCAUUUGUAUGAGGUCAGGAGCAGGCAAAAUCCAUCUGCUGAGAGUUAGAGGUCGAAAUAGUGGUUAACUCCUAUGGAGACUAGAGUCAGUGACUGGAAGAAACGAAAUCAAGAGGGAGCUUGAGAGUGCUGGACAUGUUCUGUAUUUUGAUUCAUGUGGUGUUUUCACAGCUGUGUAUGUGUGCUCAAAUUUAUCCAAGCUGCACGAUUUACAGAAGUACGCUUCAUAUAUUUUACUGUGUUAUUCCCUAGUUAAAACUAUUAAAAGAAACAAAUCUGCAUCAUUUCAUCUGGUGACAUUUUGAACAAGAUAUUCUUGUGACCCACACACUUUUGUGCCUAUAAAAUUGUUGGGUUCCUUUGUAUUUUGUGAAUUACUUUUGAGAUAACCGCAUUAACAAUCUCUCAUCCUUAAAUGAGAUUUUGAUGCCUAUGUAGCUUCUAACAAGUGUGUGCUAGUGGUAGAUAGGAAUUUUUUUUCAUUUUUUAGCUCUAAUGACCUGCCUGCAUGGAACUGUAGCCUCCCUUCCAGGUUCAGAGCUCUGUCUCCUUUCUAUUGUGUUGAGUCUGUCAUUCCAGGGCCAAAUGCCUCCUGUGGGAGCCUGUGUCUGCUACAUCCCUGAUUCUGAGACUGGACCUUUGGAAUGCCCAUCAAUGUCACCCACCCAGCUGAUUAGACAUCUGGGUACAAAGUCUGCUUCAGUGUUAUCUCAGUCUUCUGAUGCCAUUAGCCAACUCUCAUACACAGUUAUGUAUCCUUCUUGUCUUUGCUUAAGCUUCACUGCUCACUUAGGAGUGAUGCCUCCAUUUUUAGUUCUGUUUUCCCAGGGACAGUUGGGACUUCAUGCCUGAAUUAGCUGAAGGUCUGAUAGUCACUGUAUUACCCAACAUGCAUUUAUGUAGUAACUAAUAGGAUAAAGGAAGACAUUCAAAAAAUUAAACAUGGGUCUCCCCUGUCAAUUUUGACAGAUGAUGGAUCAAAUCACUUUCCUCAGAACAAAAUUUAAAUGCAGACGAAGCAUGUAAGAAAUAUUUAGUGUCUAUGUUAUAUGUUAUUAAUUCCCUGAUAGCAAUAUCAUAAAAAAGUUUUUGGUCACAACUUUAAUACUAAAAAUAAAUGUACAAUAAGCUAUUCAGGAUCCUAAAAUAAUAGUUUAUGCUGGGCCAUUUUUCAUCUUGAGAUUGCUCACGCAUUUUAGAUUCCAUUAUUAUUUACUUCAUUUAUUUUUAUGAGGUAUUUUAGCUUGUCAGAUUAAUGUUGAUAUUUGCCCUUUGAAAUUUAGUGCACUACUCAUGAACUUUGUGUGCAUAAAGCACUGUUUGUCACUUUUCAGCUUUGACGUUGAGUGGAGAAUAAAGAAAUUCGUGAAAUGAAGUUGUAAAAACUUGUUUUUGAUAGAGUCUCUUGAUUUCUAUGAUACAUGAUUUUUAGAAUUUUGAAAGAAGUUUUACGCCCUGUUCAAUAAGAGAUAAGAAUGUACUUGAGGUAGUACGGUGUGCAUACAUGAAGGAGGCGAUGAGCAAUGCUGCAGGUGCUAGCAGAACGAAUAGCACAGAUAAUUAGGACCAUGAGUUGACAUGCUGCACACAUAACACCACUGGGGUGUCGGAAAAGGAUUCUGAGAAAUAGUAAUCAUUUCUAUGGUUUUAGGUAGAAGGAAAAGCAAGGAAUACAUUCCAGGUGGGAGGAGCUUACAUUUUGGUGAUCAUGGGCUUACAAUAGGAACGGGUCGUGAUUUUGAAAACAAAAAGCGCAGUUUGGUUGGAUAAGAGACAAUUAGUGGUGAUGGAAAAAGUGAUAUAUUUGGAAAGGCAGAUUAAAACUAGAUUAUAAAAAUUGCUAAAAACCGAGAAGUUUCUCAUUUAGAAAAUGGAAAAUCACAUUUAUUUAUUUAUUUAUUAAGAAGUCAACAUUAUGAAAAUAUUCUCAUGUUAGGGUAACUCUCUUUCUGACUUUACAAGACAUUAAAUAUACACCCAAGAGCAAUUAUAAUGAAAAGACAGAAAAAUUAAGCUGGAAGCCUUCAUAUUAUUUAGUGGCUUUUGAAAUAAUCUGCACUUGAGGUGAUGAGGGGCCAGCUAAGAUAGUGAUAUCGAAAUGAAAAGAAGAGUUGGGCUUCAAAGACACUUGGAAAGGAAGUUUGAUAGGAUUUGGAAACCCUCUACAUAAGACAUGGGGUGGGGUGAGAGGAAGAAUUACAGUUUCAGCUGGACACUAGAGGAAAUGAAGAUAAAUAGAAAGAAGAAAACACCAAUUUGGGAAAGAGGAAAGUAGCAAGUGUCUAUAAGAGCUAAUUAAUUUAUAAAGUACAUCCAUGUUUAAUAAUUUAGCACAAAUAUAUACGUAUAUACAUUAUAUACGUGUGUGUAUAUCGAUAUAUACAUAUAUAAGCUCUUUGCUAUCUAUCAAUAGAUAUAUGUAUCUAUAUCUAUUGAUGUAGAUACAUAUAGAUAUAUGUAUCUAUAUCUAUUGAUGUAGAUACAUAUAGAUAUAUGUAUCUAGAUACAUAUAUCUAUUGAUAGAUAUAUAGAUAUAUAAAUUCUUUGCUACCUAUUGCUAGAUAGAUACACAGAUAGAUAUAGAUAGAUAAAUCUAUGUAUAUAUAGAGAUAGAUAGCUAGAUAGAUAGAUAGAUAAGCUCUUUGCUGAACUUAAGCAAAGAGAAGCACACAUUAAAUAUCCUGGGGUUUUCAGCCCAAAACAUAGUCUGCCUGACCCCCCAACCCCAUAUAUGUGUGUGUGUGUAUAUAUAUAUUAAUACACACACGAGAGAGAGAGCGAGCGAGCGAGAGAGAGAGAGAACAAGUACUUGGUAUUUGUCAAUGCACGGUCUGUCAACCUUCCUCCAUGCCCAGUGAAAUGGCCUUCUUUCCUCGUAUUGAUGGACACAUUGGAUGGACCCCAGGAAGAUACAGUAAUUCAUGCGAAUCCUUACAGUGGACAUUUCUCCUGUGACAUGGGUCCUGAACAUUCUAUGUUUGGGGCAUUUCCCUUGUUACACCUCCCCAAAGAAAAAGUCAUGAAUCCUGAGACUUUAUUUUGAGUCUUCAAUAAUCAGCCUGAAGCGUCUUCAGCUCUAAUUCAGAAACCAGCACAUGGUUAUCCCCAAAAUGGAUGAUCGAGGUGACCCAAGCUCAGAGAGUGUGGGGUGUGAUUCCCGGUGUUCAGUACCAGCUGUAGGACUGACUGUAUCUCUUCCCAGAGCGGGCUCCACAGGGUCUGGGCUUGUGACCCUGGGCUUUGAACAUGGCAUAUCACUGUGUAGCUUCAUGGCUUGACAAAUGGACCCUUCUGGAGAUCUGUGACCUAAUGCACAUUAAUACAUUCCCUGCCUUCUUAAACUAGAUUUAGGAUACUCACUGAUACAGAAACUGGUACAAGAGGGUUGAAAGGCAAUAAAUCCUUAAGGACAUAAAUAAUGAAGGCUGUCAGCUGGGUUGAGUAUAAAUGCACGGUGGAUUCCGCCAGGCUGUGUAAAUUUACUCAGGAUAAUGCUGACUAGAACAAACAUAGCAUAAGGAAUAAAAACAAUGAACGUGGUUGAAUAACAGUAAGGUCAUUUUAAUAAUAAAACUAGUCAUUAGCCUAUCUCACUUCUAAAUUAAAUUCUAUAAAAUAGAUUACUUUGACCAUAAGUGGCUUUUUUGUCUGUUGAGAAUGAGGAUGGCAAAGAGUCUUUGUCUCUUGUGUGAACUCCUUGAGGAUCUCUGCCCUGAGAGUUACAUGUGGCAUCCGUUAUGGUGGAAAGAGUUCCCCAAAGGUGUCUAAUCUCUGUCAUCGAUUGGGAAAGACACAGAAUGAAAAAGGCACACCUCAUUCUGACUCAGACGAUCAGGAUUUAGAGAACUGAUGUGGCAACACUAAAAAGGAGCUCUUUAACUGCAAGCAACAAGAAGACAAUCAGAACACCAUCAAAUCAGCAGAACUAUACAGAGAAAUACUGGAAUAUGUGUCUAUAAUCUAGGUGGGCCCUCAUCGUCUGCACAUUCACACACUUUUCUGGGAUGAGAAUCCAGAACUGUGAUCUGAUUUUCUAUACGAUCCCUGGUCCCUGGAUGUGUAACAAUGAAUGUCCUGAAGCCAUCUUGGCCUUCGUUAUUUGGGAACUGACGCCUGCACACAAACAUGUCACUGAAAACCCCGGCGUGGCAACUUGCAAGCUAUUCAUUAAGCCCAUAGUUCUUCCUACUUGGAAAAAAGUGACAUCGCAUCUCCUGUCUCCUGUCACAUCGCGGGGCCAAUAGAAUGGAGAAGAGGACGUGCAAAGCACCCCCGGACCAUGAGCUGAAAAUAAAUGAGCCCCAGAACCUAUGGCAUCCAAGUCCUGUGUUGUGACUCACAGAGGACCUUGCUGUUGAAGCAGGACCUGGACCUCACGUGGCUAAGAUAGAAACAAGUACACAUAUUUUUUCUUAAUUGUCUUAGAUUUGGGGUUUCAUUUGGAAAGCUGUUACCUUUCCUUGAUGAACACAACAGGGGGAAUCUAGGCUGCUUGACUCCCUGCAGCCUCCCCUUUUUUUAUUCUUUUGGCGACAGAGUCUCACUCUGUCACCCAGGCUGAAGGGCAGUGAUGCAAUCUUGGCUCACUGCAACCUCCGUGUCCUGGGUUCAAGUGGCUCUCCUGCCUCAGCCUCCCGAGUAGCUGGGAUUACAGGUGUGCGCCACCACACCAAGCUCAUUUUUGUAUUUUUAGUAGAGAUGGGGUUUCACCAUGUUGGCCACGCUGGUCUUCAACUCCUGAUCUCAAGUGAUCCAUCCACCUCAGCCCGCAAAGUGCUGGGAUUACAGGCGUGAGCCACCAGGCGUGUCCUGCAGCCUCCCUAAGUGGUAUAAAUGCACAUGCACAUGUCCCACCAGCCACACCAGUUGAGGCAAAACUGGAAAUCAUUGCAUGACUGAUGUCCAGCCAGUAUACUCUUCUGUUCCCAAAAUGAAUAAAAUAAAUUUACUAAAGCUUUUGUUAUGCAAUGCUACACGGCUCAAGAAAUGUUUUUGGUUAUCAGAAGUAAUUUGCAUGCUGAAAUACUUGCAUAAGUAGCAGACACUACUGAGGUUAAUAGAAGAAAUUGGAAGUCCUUCAUAAAAUUCCAGCACUAUCUAUCAUAGUACUUUGUAUUUUAAGUCAGGUAUAAGACCACAAGUUUUGCUGGACAGUAAGCUUUGGCUCAUAUAUAGUAAAUAAAUGAAAUAUUAUAUCAGUUUAUAGAUAGUAUUAUUUACCAAAUGAUAAUAUUGAAUAUUGUAACUAUAUUUGACAACAAUUUGCUACUUUACUGUCUUUUAUUUUUGCAAUGAAGUUUGCAUAAAAAAUUCAAUGUAUAUUCAGGAAAGCAGAUAUUUGUAUUCUAGAAAAUGUAUAUUAAUAUUACCAGUAUUUCUAUUGAAAGUAUAAUAUAAGAAACACUUAUAGGAUAUUAUCUGAUGAUAAACAGUGGAAUCUGAAUACAAAACAAAGAUUGUGGAAACAUGCAAAAACUUUUUCUAAAUAGUUUACAAACUCUAUUAUUGAUAGAAACAACUGAAAAACUUAUCAUCUGUUUAAAAUUAUUUGUAGACUAAAAACGAGAAUAAAAAUAAAAUAUAUAUUCUUGUGUAUCUUUUUAUGGCCAGAUUCGUUUUAAUUGUCUCUUCAAUGUCAGUCACUAUGCAUCAUUAUCCACAUUCAGACUACCGUAACACUCAAUCUUACCCUUUUCUGUUGAUGCCUUAGGACAUGGUUCUCUCUUUGAAUGCACUUACGUAAACAUAUUUUAUUUUAUGCUGAAGGUGAUAUGUUUCUAUUAUUCACUUAAUAUAAGUAGACAGAACAGCUUUAAUUGCGAAAGUAAACAGUUUUAUCUACCAAAACUAAAAGUGUGAGAGACUAAUAUUGUCUGUAUUUAAUAAGCCAUGUGGAUAUAUCUUUCUAUUUGUCUGUAAAUCUGUAGGAGAUUUGUUCUUAUAAGACUCACUAUUUGUCAUAUGUCAACAUGGGGAGAUUUUAGAAACAUAUAUUUGCAAUAUGUUUUGCAAAAAGAAAAAUCUAUCAGCUUUUGGAACCACUGGGAAAUAGAAAAUCACAAGCAAAUACUACAGGCUACUAAUUUGACAGAAGUGUUGUCUUAGAUGAUUCCAUUUCUUCAAAAGAUGUGAGAAAAUCAUAGUUAUCCAGAAAAAUGCCAGCGGAAUUCCCAUUAUUGUCUGUGUGAGUUUUUCAUACAAAUUAGUGAAGAGUGGGUGGGUGAAAGUUGGUCUUCUGCAAUAAAUAUUAAUUUAGAUAAACACUGGCUGACAAACUCCUUUUACUUUGGUUAUUUUUGGAUCAUGUCAAAAACUUUCUUUAAAUUUCUUGAGUACAAAAAUAUACAAAUAGCCAGCCUCCAUGAAGUAAAUUGGAAUCAUAAAACGUUAAAGUAUACAUAUAUUACCAAUUUCAGGUGAUGAAGACUAUGACUUUUCCCCCCAAAUCAGCUACCAUAAAUGGCUUGUUGACCCUGUCUUCCAUAAUGGAAGGUAUAUAAAGACUGCCCCCCAAAAUUGCUGAAGGAGAAUUAAUACACUAGCUCAUCUUUAUAGAAGCAUUUAACUUGGUCUACAUCUUGUUGUGAAUUUGCUUCUUAAAACUGCAUAUUUAUUAAAUACACUCAAGAUAAGUCAUAGCAAAUGUGUUAUUGAAAUGUUAUGGACCAGUUAUGAGGGUGCAUUUCGACGAGAUUUGAUACCCACACAUUUUCUCUCUCUCUUUUUUUUUCUUUUUGAGACUGAGUUUCUCUCUUGUCGCCCAGGCUGGAGUGCAAUGGCACCAUCUCAGCUCACGGCAAACUCCACCUCCCAGGUUCAAGCAAUUCUUCUGCUUCAGUCUCCCAAGUAGCUGGGACUACAGGCACCUGCCAUCAUGCCUGACAAAUUUUUUGUAUUUUUAGUAGAGAUGGGGUUUCACCAUGUUGGCCAGGCUGGUCUCAAACUCCUGACCUCAGGGGAUCCAUUCACCUCAGCUUCCCUAAGUGCUAGGAUUACAGGGGUGAGCCACUGCGCCCAGCCUACCCACACAUUUUCUAAUUGUGAUGUACAAGGUUACUUUUCCUGAGAGGAUUGGAAUAUCUUGGGGGCAUUAUGAUUGUUCCCUCAGUUGGUACAAACUACAUAUAAUCAAGUUGCAUUUGUUUUUUCUUUUCCCUCCAGCACAUUUUUUUCCUUCCCAAACUAAACACUUUCAGAAACUAAGAUUCUAAUCAACCAGUUUUGAUUGUAUUAGUGGGUCAAACUCUUUAAUAUAUAUCGGGGAGAAUUGCUUACUAGGAUUUUGUUUAUUUAUACAGUUAAAAUGUGAAUAAAAAAAUUAUAUAGUUAAAAUGUGAAGAUGGGCGUGGUGGCUCAUGCCUGUAAUCCCAGCACUUUGGGAAGCUAACACGGGUGUAUCACCUGAGGAAUAAUUUGAGCAGCAUUGUCAAGGUUGAAGCAUCUUACGUUUGCAUAUUGUAAACAGAGCACAGUACCAUCCUGUUGCAUAUUUUAAAUAAUGCAAACAGCAGAUGCACGUUGUCAAACAGCAUACUGUUCAGCAAAGUUUUUCAGGUAACUCUACUAUAACCCACGAUCUUCUCAGAGACGUUGAUUAUUUAUGUCAAGGUCAGGAAAAGGCAAUUGCUUGUUUCAAAGCAAAAAAUAAAAACUACCAGGAAUGAACACCUACGAAAUCCAAAGGGGGAAAAUCUCAUCUUCUGAGUCACAUAAUUACGAUACUCUCUCAGGCAGAAAAAAGUCAGAAACUUUUUCAGUAAGUGCUUGAGGACUUUGAUAAUGUUUGUUGGUUGGAGUUUCCACUGAGGGUUGGUGCGUUUUAAGGACUUUGAUAAUGUUUGUUGGUUGGAGUGUCCACUGAGGGUUGGUGCGUUUUAAGGACUUUGAUAAUGUUUGUUGGUUGGAGUUUCCACUGAGGGUUGGUGCGUUUUAAGGACUUUGAUAAUGUUUGUUGGUUGGAGUGUCCACUGAGGGUUGGUGCGUUUUAAGGACUUUGAUAAUGUUUGUUGGUUGGAGUUUCCACUGAGGGUUGGUGCGUUUUAAGGACUUUGGUAAUGUUUGUUGGUUGGAGUUUCCACUGAGGGUUGGUGCGUUUUAAGGACUUUGAUAAUGUUUGUUGGUUGGAGUUUCCGCUAAGGGUUGGUGCGUUUUAAGGACUUUGAUAAUGUUUGUUGGUUGGAGUGUCCGCUGAGGGUUGGUGCGUUUUAAGGACUUUGAUAAUGUUUGUUGGUUGGAGUUUCCGCUGAGGGCUGGUGCGUUUUAAGGACUUUGAUAAUGUUUGUUGGUUGAAGUUUCCACUGAGGGUUGGUGCAUUUUAAGGACUUCGAUAAUGUUUGUUGGUUGGAGUGUCCACUGAGGGUUGGUGCGUUUUAAGGACUUUGAUAAUGUUUGUUGGUUGAAGUUUCCACUGAGGGUUGGUGCGUUUUAAGGACUUUGAUAAUGUUGGUUGGUUGGAGUUUCCGCUGAGGGUUGGUGCGUUUUAAGGACUUUGAUAAUGUUUGUUGGUUGGAGUGUCCACUGAGGGUUGGUGCGUUUUAAGGACUUUGAUAAUGUUUGUUGGUUGGAGUUUCCACUGAGGGUUGGUGCGUUUUCUCACCUGUAGGACUGGCUCAGGUCUUUCUCCUGCCCUCUAACCUCCCUUGUUUAGAGUAUACUCAUCAGCGUGAUGCAGCCUGCAACCCACAAAAGUUCCGAGUUCUCUUUUGCUUUACUCCCUGCAUAAAUAUGUUCCUAUAACGUGGCAUUCUGAAACUAUAUUUCUCUAAAACAUUUUAACGUUAUGUGUGCAUAUAACCCAGGGCUUGGAAACAAUUUUAGUUGGCUGUACCCAUUAACUUGCCCACUCAAAAGAAACUAUUUUGAUAAACCAGAACUCAAGUAUUCUCUCUCACUGACCUGGUAUUGAAAUGUCCUGAAAACACCAGAUUUUCAGCAAAACUGAGUAUAUAUUCUUGGCGAAUCCCAUGCUUGUGUGAGUGAGCCCUCUGACCAUCUAGUGCAGACUGGGAUGCAGAAGAGACGGCAUUUUCAACCAAGUUUUACUAGGGAAUUUUUUUUUUCUAAGAAAAGGAAUGCUAUGCAAUACACACUGUAUUGUGUGGGUAAUUAAAAAUCACCCCAGCCCGUCUGUGGGUAAUUAAAAAUCAUCCUUUUAACCUCAGGAUCUAAAUGUGAAACCCAUAGUCCAUAUGGUAAGAAACAAGGUAGAAUGGUUCACACACAGCAAGCGUAAAGAACAAGGAAACACACGACUUUUCCAUUAUAAAUUCGGUUGGAAAGUCACAGGAGCAGCUUCCCUUCCCCACUUACCUCUAGCCUGAGGCGUCACAAGACAGCCCCGAUGGUGGCAUUGGCACUGUGUCUGCCUAUUCCAGAGGCAGAAAUGCCCACUGUACCCCUUUUCUUGGAAUCACUUUUCCAACCCAGGUCCUAACAGUUAUGCCUAAAAGGGAGACACAUGUGGGCAAAGGUGCAAUGAGACAUCCGAGGACACGGAAUUCCCUUGCAUUAACAGGUGUGGUGGCUGUGGAUUCUAUUCAGAACACUUGAGCUUCUGCUAGGAUGAAGCCUUCUUCCCACCUCUGAGCUUUGAGGUCCACGUGAUUCUCCUCCAGCCGAUUCCAGUCCAGUGUCCUAGGGGGACCACAGGCUCUGCUUGCCUGAGUCCAGAGAGUUCUGUAUUUUCUCUGCUUCCCUUUGGAUGCCUAAUUGAAAUGCGGAGUUGCUAAGAAGGGAUAGAGUGAAAAUCCCGGGCAACUCAAAGGUAAGAAAAGGAAAGCCUGCCCAGUGCCUAAUAAACACAAUCAUUCUUCCUGCCUCUCCAGUUAGCCUCACGCCCUGCAGCAUUGUUUGAAAAAUGGGUGAUAACCUAAGCUGGAACUUUGUUUAAUCACCCAACCUACUCACAGUAAAAUCCUAUUUUUCUUGGAAUAAAAACAUAACUUGUAAUGAACUGAAAAAUUCCUUUCAAGGCAUUUUUUUAAAGAAAAUGGAUAAUAUUAUAUGUGUACUGAAUAUGUUAAUAUGCAAUUUCCUAUAUGGGCAUACUUUUUUUUAAACACUGUCAAUAGUUGGCAUCUCAAUAGUGCAAUUUCCCAUAGAGUUAUUGUUUGUAUUACCUUAAGUUUGGAAUUAAAAUAUGCUAUACAUCAGUGACUACCAGCCUUUUGUGUGAUUCACAGUAGAGUAAGUGUUUUUGUAAAAAAGGAUACUGAUUCAAAGGUGAUAAUUUUUUUUUCUUUUUUUUUUUUUUUUUUUUUGAGAUAAAGUCUCACUCUGUUGCCCAGGCUGGAGCGCGGUGGCAUGAUCUCAGCUCACGGCAACCUCUGCCUCCCAGUUUCAAGCAAUUUUCCUGUCUCAGCCUCCCAAAAAUUCUUAUUUUACCAAAUAAAAGAACACACACAUGCCCACCAGGUACAGUCGAAUCAUUCAUUCAUUCAUUCAUUCAAUAAAUUUUUUUUAGUAACUACUAUUUUUUCUUUGCUGGGAAUACAGCAAUGGAGAGAAAAAUAAAAUAUCUGUGGAUUAUGGAGCCAACAUCCAGGUAAAAUAUAGUCACACACCCAGAGAAGUAAGGAUAGACACCGUUCAACAAUUGACUUCAUUGUGCUUUAUAUUUAAAAAAUGCUAAAGCAGUCCUAUUAUUGCCGAUUCCCUUUAGACUUCUGACUGUUUCAGAGAUAAGCUGUAGUCCAUGGGCAGAUGUUAAUGAACACUGAGACGCUUGUGAGGACAGACAACCUGUGGACUAUUCUAAUGAGUGUGUUUUGAAAUGCAUAUAUGUAAUUGUGCUUUUGGUUUCUAUAUAUUUUUACCAUGCCUCCUUCACAUAUUUCAUGUUUUAUUUACAAUUUUCAGGGUUAUGAUGUUUUUGAGGUUGUCAUCAGUUCUUUUUCUCCACAUUCAAAGGGUCGUAUUCAAUAUGAAUUAUCUGGACAUAUGCUUCAGAGAUUCGAAGCCUUAGGCGAGAGGACGAAGCCAUUGAGUAUUUGUCAGGUGCGUGGAUUCCAAGUGGAAAACAGCAACUGGUCCACGAAAUGCAUUAGUCUUUGGCAGAAUAACGUUGAAAUCUUUUCUUUGUGAUAAAACUUUUCAGUAUGUAUGCUUUUCAGAUAAAAUGCAAUGCUAAGAUAUAACCAACAUUUGAUUUUCAUUAUUUUUGCCUUGUAGGUUUGAAAUCACAGAGCUGAAACAGAUACCUAAAAAUUGUAGUGUAUCUUCAGUUUUAUUUACUUCGAAUUCACCUCAUUAAUCCCCAAACACCAAAUAUUCCAUAAGUUCCUAAACAUUGUUUUGUUUUGUUUUGUUUUGUUUGAGACGGAGUCUGACUGUGUCUCGCAGGCUGGAGUGCAGUGGCACCAUCUCGGCUCACCACAACCUCCGCCUCCUAGGUUCAAGCGAUUCUCCUGCCUCAGCCUACUGAGUAGCUGAGAUUACAUAUGCAUGCCACCAUGCCUGGCUAAUUUUUGUGUUUUUAGUAGAGAUGGGGUUUCACCAUGUUGGCCAGGCUGGUCUCAAACUCCUGACCUCAGGUAAUCCACCCGUCUCGGCCUCCCAAAGUGCUGGGAUUACAGACGUGAGCCACCGCGCCCGGCCAACGUUGGGCAUUUAUAAACCAGGUCUGGGCACCUGCCUGAGCCUGUUAUGGAAGAAAAUUUUCUCUUGAGUUGUUGCACUUCAGCCUUGUUCUGCCCUUUGAUGUUUGCCCAGGAGAAAUUUCAAGGAAAAACAAUGACAACUUCGUCUCUAGUCAUGUUACUUUGAGCCUUCAUUUUUUAAAGUCGAGUCUACUUCUACUUAUGUUAGUGGUUAAUUUCAGCGUUUUCCGUAGCAACAGCGAUUCCCUCAUAACCCACCUGCAGGUUUUGUAUAUAAACACUAGCUACACUGUGUUAAUCCACCAUGUCUGUAAAUUCUUCUGCUUUGAAAUUAUUUAAAAGUUGGAUUAGCAAUCCUAAUAACUAGAUUAAAAAAUUCAUCGACUAUGUAUCAGCAAAAUUUAUUGUCUGCUUAAAAACAGCAAUUCUAGUAUCACCUUUGGACUUAAAUAAUUAUCUUUUUUCCUUAAUCACCUGUCUUUUCAUUCACUGUCUCCUGUUUCUGGUGUAACUCACAAUCUAGAACCACACACAGUGGUUUUGUACACCUUCAGACAUGAUAGGUUUCUGUAUUCAUUCUUAUUUACAGGAGUUGUUUUUGGACUCAGGUAACUAUUUCACAAACAGAACAAAAUGCAGUUCUUAUCUUGGUUCCUUCGUGGAAUAUCUCUGCAGCCUUAGGCAUCUUAUUUCAUUAUUUCAUUUCACUAGGUCUCAGAUGCGUCAUGCAUUAAGCUUGUAAGGGUGGACAAUGAGAUCUUUAAAUUCUCAAAACCUGUGGUUUUAUGACAGUAGUUCUGAAAGACAGUUAGGUGCUAAAAAUAAUUUUAUCUGAAAUAGCAGCAAUGGCAUGGAACAUGGAAGUUGGCUCUCUGGCCCUUCAGUUUUCUCAAAAGGCUAUCAGUGGAGUGUGUGGGACUCUGAUGAACGUUUUCCAUGCUGGGGAUGGCAGGUCGGUGGCAACGCUGCCCUGCUGCUAAAUCAUCCUCUCAUAAUAUGCUCAUCAAUGUACCGUCUGUCCAACUCUUGGAUUCUCCUUGCCUUCCAGCUAUUUGAGUUAUACAUUAAAGUAAACAAAUAUGCAUGGGUUACUACCAUCAGUGAAUAUAGGAAUCAUCAUAUCUCGCCUUAUACUUCUGUAAAAGUCAGUGUUUCCUUUGUCCAUGCCCACCUCACAUAGCAAUUCUCUGUCUCCUCUGUGUUCAGAAGUCUCCCAAAUUCAUGGACACAUUACUAUUUUGUUUUUCCUUCAGAAUCUUGCACUUCCUUAUUCUAGUAGGAAUUUAUUAAAUAUGGGUCCAUUCCCCCAAAAUGGAGAGACAUCACAAAAAGAGAUACUAGGCCAGAGUGCCACCUAUUUGCCCAACACUUUAUCUCAUGUCAUCUAGUCACUGUUUAUAAGAUAUAUCCACAGGGAAGCGUUACUAUCAAAAUCCCAAAAUGGUCACGGUGAAAGUAGAUGCAUUUUCACCUCAUACUAUUCACUCCUGUGCGGCUUCCUAGUCUCAUUUUGAGAAAUCUUCACUUCAAUGCCUAUACUGGUCAUACUGCUACACAUUUUUAAAUCCUUUUUUAACUUCAAAAGCAGACUUUUGAAGAAAUGAUUCAGCAUUACGCACAUAGCAGACGGGUUAAAAGUCAGGAAUCAGAGGACAUGCCACUUUGGGUAAAGAGCUUCUCUUGCACAAGGCAGCUGUGUGAUUUUACAACUUAAUGUCCUCAUCUGAAAAUGGAGAUAACGAGAAUAGCCCCUCCGUAGAAUGUUGUAGAAACAUAAUAAGUUAACAUGUAAGUAUUUAAAACACUGCUUAAUACAUGCCAUGUGCUAGGUGUUACCUAUCAUUUUUGCUAUUGAUGUUUCUUCUUCUUCUUUUUUUAUUUUUAUUUUUUUUUUGAGACGGGGUUUCACUCUUGUUGCCCAGGCUUGGGUGCAAUGGUGCGAUCUCAGCUCACCUCAACCUCCGCCUCCCGGGUUCAAGCCAUUCUCCUGCCGCAGCUUCCCGAGUAGCUGAGAUUACAGGCAUGUGCCACCACACCCAGCUAAUUUUGGAUUUUUAGUAGAGACAGGGUUUCUCCAUGUUGGUCAGGCUAAUCUCAAACUCCUACCUCAGGUGAUCCGCCCACCUUGGCCUCCCAAAGUGCUGGGAUUACAGGUGUGAGCCACUGCACCUGGCGAUGUUUCUUAAUAUUAGAAUUUUCCCCGCAGAGAAUUGAGCCUGUUCUUCAAUACCUUUCACUAACAUUUCUACACAUCAUCUUAUGAUGUGUAGAAUAUACACAUUAUAUAUACAUAUAUACACAUGUAUACAUCAUCUUGGCUAGACUUUCUUCAUGUGAUACCAAAUGCUACCACAAGAAUUUCUCUUAGUCGUUUUAACCUUACAAACUUCCAUGAACUCAACCAUUCUGAAAUUACUAUAAAGUAUUUAUGAAUAAUAAGAACUUUUUUAAGUUUACAUUUCUUAAUAUUCUUUCAGUCAUGUUGUUCCUAUUAGUUUUAAUUUACUCAAAUAAGAAUCCUAUCAUUCUGGCGAGGCUCGGUGGCUCAUGCCUAUAAUCCCAGCCGUUUGGGAGGCUGAGGCGGGCAGAUCACCUGACGUUAGGAGUUGAAGACCAAUCUGGCCAACAUGUUGAAACCCUGUCUCUACUAAAAAUACAAAAAUUAUCUGGGCAUGGAGGCGUGUUCCUGUAAAUCCAGCUACUUGGGAGGCUGAGAGCCAUGAGAAUCGCUUGAGCCCGGGGGGCGGAGGUUGCAGUGAGCUGAGAUGGGGCCACUGCACUCCAGCCUGGGUGACAGAGUGAGACUCUGACUCAAAAAAAAAAAAAAAAUCCUAUCCUCUCCCUGUACUAGUUUAGCAACACUGGGCAAGAUACUAUUGUAAAUAUCAGUUUUCUUGUCAGCUUAAGGGGAUAAUCACAAGUAUUUAUCACUGGUUUCCUUAAAAAUUUAAUGACCUAAUGCAUGUGCUUAGCAUAGUGCAUGUCACAUAAAGAGUACUGAAAAAUAUUAGCAAUUUUUCCCCAAAGCAUAACACAUAGUCAUAUCCUGGAAUGAUUUCAAGCUUUUAAUAAUAUUUUUGGAAAUCAUAAUUAUAUUCCUUAGCUGCUUAAAGAAAAUAAAAGUUAAUCUAGCAGAACAUCAAACUCAUAAGUUCAAUGAGUUAUAAUAUUAAAGUUGGAAGGAAUCUCAGAAAAAUUCUAAAAUAACUUUUGGUGAUAUAUGAGGAAAGUGAAGGUUUUCAUUUCAUAAGAAGAUGUAAGAUAAAUGUCACUGGAGUCAGUAUGCUGUUAUUCAUAUCAUGCUAUAAAUACCGUAGAAUUAUUUUAUGAAAUAAAAAAAGAAACUCAAAUUUAUUAAAUACCUUUCUAUGUGAGACAUUAUCUCUUGAACUAUGCCAGUUUUUUUAUUCUCAUAACAAUCUAUAAGCUGAAGGCCACGUCUCAUUCUGCAUGUUCGACAAAUGAAGUUAAAUCUACUGGUUUUAUAGGUUUCCUCUCUGUCUCUCUUUCUUUCUCUCUCUCUCCCUCUGUGUAUAUCUAUUUAUAUAUACACAUGUAUAUAUCUAUUUAUAUACACACAUGUAUAUAUCUAUUUAUAUAUACACAUGUAUAUAUCUAUCUAUAUAUACACAUGUAUAUAUCUAUCUAUAUAUACACAUGUGUAUAUAUCUAUCUAUAUAUACACAUGUGUAUAUAUCUAUCUAUAUAUACACAUGUAUAUAUCUAUCUAUAUAUACACAUGUGUAUAUAUAUCUAUCUAUAUAUACACAUGUGUAUAUCUAUUUAUAUGUACACAUGUGUGUAUAUACUUACAUAUACACAGUUGUAUAUACACAUAUAUACAUUUUAUACAGAUGUACAAAUAUAUAUAUGUAUAUUUAUGUGUUUGUUUGUUUUGUAGAGAUGGGGUCUCACUAUGUUGCCCAUGCUGGUCUAAAUCUACUGAGCUUAAGUGAUCUUCCCACCUCAGUAUCCUAAAGUAUUAGGAUUAUAAGCAUGAGCCACCAGCCAGAUUUUAUAGCUAUGAAAGCAGCUAUACAUCAUAAAUAAAAUGUGCAUCAUAAAUAAAAUGCAAACUAUAUUUUCCUACAGAUGGACUAAUAUGGUUAACAUUUGAAAACAAUGAGACGAAUGAGUAGGAAGAUGUGGAGUGUUGGUACUCAUAUACAUAAUUCAUUGGAAUGAAAAAUGAUACAGCGCAUGGCAGAAGUCAAAGGGGAAGCAGGCACCUUCUUCACGAGGUGGCAGGAAGGAGAAGAAUAAAGGAGCAACUUCCAAACACUUAUAAAACCAUCAGAUCUCUUGAGACUCAUUCAGUAUCACAAGAACAGCAUGGGGGAAAUCACCCACAUGAUUCAAUCACCUCCCUCCCUCAACACACAGGGGUUUCAGGUGGAGAUAAGAUUUGGGUGGGGACACAGAGCCAACCCAUAUCACUGAGUCUAGUAUUUACGUAAAGUUAAGACAUAUAGACCAAAGGAGUACAUUUCACGGUCCAAGAAUAAACCCUUAUGUUUAUGAUCAGGUCAUUUUUUACACACAUAGAAAGACAAUUCAAUAGGGAAAUAAUAGUGUUUUAGCAAAUGGUUCUAAGUUGCUUAUACACGUGGAAAAAUUAAUCCUAGAUCAUUACUUCAGACUAUGCACAAAAUUAACUUAAAUGGAUCACAGAUCUAAAUCUAAGGAUUAAAAUUUUGAACCUUCUCUAAUACACCAUAGAGUAAAAGCAUUGUGAUUUUGAAGCAAUAUGAUUAAGACAUAACACCAAAUAAACCAUGAGUGAAAAAAAAAUGGACUUCAUUUAAAUUAAAUAUGUUUGCUUUUCAGAAGAUGCCCCUAAGGAAAUGAAAAGACAAGCUAAAUAUUGGUGGACAGUACCAACAAAUCAUAUAUAUGUCUGAUGAUGUUUAAAAAACUUUCAACUCAAUAAGUAAAAGUAAUAAAAUUAAAAAUAAAAAAGUUGUAUAAUAAUUGCACAAUAGAUUUACAUUUUUGCUUAUUACUUGAUGCUGCCAGUCUGGUCUGAAUUCUGUUCAGCCCAGUGAUAUUGCUUUUGGCACCUUGUUUCCAUUAAAACAUUGUAUUGACUAUAUCCAACCCAAUAUGUGCAAUCAAAAAUAAAGCUAAAUUGUAUUGUAUAUUUAUAAAUGCAUGACCAUUACAAAUUUAUAUAUAAAUAAUAGAAAUCUGUGAAAUACAAAAAAUCUAUCUGCAUAUUCAUAAAACUAUACAGAUAAUAUACAAAAAUAUAUCUGUAUUUUAUGUGUGUAAAUGUAUUUAUACAUACAAAUAUAAAAGUUUAAUAAAUAAAUGUAUAGUAACUAACAAAACAACAAUGAUAAAACAUAUACAUCCAGCUGAAUAUAUAUAUGCAUAUAUACAUAAAACUUAUGCAUAGUAAAUCACAUUUCCAGCUAAAUAUAUAUGUGCAUGUAUAUGGGUAAAUAAUAAUAACGAAUAAGAUGAUAGUAAAGCAAUGUUUAAAACUCCAAAUUUAGACAUAGAAUGCUAUACGUCAUGUUCACACUACCUCUGCACCCUUAUUUGAUCACCCCGCCAUAGGUCAAAGCUAUCUGGGCUUUGCUGUAUAACUAGAGGUGUUUGCUAGUUCGCCGGCCUCUUCCUAAGUGGGAGGUUGACUGGCUUUGCUUGGCUUUGAGCUUUACGGAAAUGGAACCCCACUGUACAUGCUCUGCUUCCUUUUUUUUUUCAUUUUGGCUUCCACUCCUGAGCUUGUAUUACUGUGCUGCAAACUUGGAUGGACUGCUGAGUAUUGUAUCCAAGCAAUCGUAUGAAAAUGUUUUAAAAUCUAUUGUGAUUUUUGUUUUGUUUUGGGGUAAGUAAACUUUUAAUUUUAGAACAAUUUUAGAUUUGCCCAACAUUGCAGAGGCGGCCCAGAGAAUUUCUGUUCAUCCCUUGCCUGGUUUCCACUCUUGCCUCAUUGCAUCCUAGGUCUCUGUGGGCAACGGCUCACAACCAUGGGUCCGACAAUGGCAGUUCCUAUGAACUACACUUGUAACUUCAUUUGCAUUUCAUGAGUUUCCCCCGUAAUGUCCUUUUUCUCUUGCAGGAUCCCAUCCAGGGGACUUUAUUACAUUUGGUCUUCAUUUCUCCUUAGCCUAGUCUGUUUCAUGGUAGUUUUGCAAAUGUUCCUUGUGUCUGAUGACGUUAGCAGUGUUGAGGAGGUGGGUGGUAUUGUGUAGAACGCCCCUAAUUUGGCGUUUGUCUGAUAGUUUUUCUCCUUAUUAGACUGGGGUUACGGGCUUUCGGGAGACUAAAGAGGUAAAGUGCCCUUCUCAACAUGCCAUGCCAAGAGGAUGCGCUAUCAGCGUCCCGAGUCACUGAUGAUGCGGCCUUGGUGGCCUGGCCGCGGCAGUGCUGCUCGAGGCAAGGCUGUGGUUUCCCCCCGCUCACGUGGUGCUCUUUGGAAACAGGUCUCCAAGCACUCAGGAGGCCACAGCAGGGAGUAAAUCUCCACCUCCUGGAACAGAGAGCAGCUCAUACAUUAUUUGGAAUUCUUCCUAUGGGGGAUCUUUUUCUCCCCUAGUUAUUCAUUUUGGCAAUCAUGUAUUCAUAUCUCCAUGGACUCAUGCGAAUGUGUUUCAUGCUUUGGUUCAUAAUCCAGAUUAUUCUGGUUUUGGCCUCUGGGGGCUCUGUCCAGUUGGGCCCUACAGCCUUUGACAAGCUCCCCUCUGUAUUAAUCUGUUCUUGCAUUGCUCUAAAGAACUACCUGAGACUGGGUAAUUAAUAAAGAAAAGGCAUUUCCUUGGCUCACAGUUCCACAGGCUGUACAGAAAGCAUGAUGCUGGCAUCUGCCAACUUCUGGGGAGAUCUUAGGAAACUUUAAUUGUGGUGGAAGGUGAAGAACAAGCAGGCACUUAACAUGGCCAGAGCAGAAGCAAGAGACGGAGGGAGUGGGGAGAUGCCACACACUUUGAAACAAGCAGAUCUCAGGAGAACUCACUAUCGCGAGGACAGCAGCAGGGGGAGGGAUGGUGAUAAGCCAUGAGAAAACGCCCCCGUGAGCUAAUCACCUCUCACCAGGCCUCACCUCCAGCACUGGGGAUUACAAUUCAACAUGAGAUUUGGGUAGGGACACAGAUCCAAACCAUGUCCCCAUCCCUUUAUUUUUUGAGCACUUCCUUUCAGGCACUGUAAGAUGCCCCAGGCUCAUCUUGCUCAUGUCCUGCCCCAGAGGUGGAAUCAGGCAUUUCUUCAAAGAGCGCUGAUUCCUUAUACUGGAGAAGAGUAUUCAGAACCAAGAUCUGAAUGCUAGUUCUAUUCUGUUCUCAGACAUUUUGCAUAUGGGUUCAGGGAAACAUCACACACACAUUUUUAAAGUUUGAAACUCCACUGUUUGAAACAUUACUGAUCUUCAUAAUGCUACAAAAUAAAAUUUGUAUUGAAUCACUUGAACGAGGAAUAGAUAAUGUAUCAAGUAUUAGAGUAAUAUUACAACAGAAUACAUGUUUAACUCUUAGUACACUGGAAAAUGUAAUAGAUCUCAAAUUCACUGACUUUUUGUCUGUUUUCAAUUUGAUAUUUCAAUAAAUAAAUUGUGCUAAUAUUUCUAUUUUACCUGAAUUAAAGUAAAUAGUGUCACUGGUCCACUGAAUGCCCUCUAACAAUAAAUUAUUAUGUUUUAAGUAAUAUAGGGAAAAGGGGAAAAAUGAAAAUACAUUUUGUUUUCAACACCAAGUUAACUUUUUCACAGAAACAUAAUUCUGUAUUAAGGUUUUGAAGUGGGAGAUUUAUAUAACCCAUUGUGGAUCACUGAAGAUUGCUAUUACUAUAUCUAUAGUUAAAGGAGGUGUGACAAUAAUUUAAAAGGCACUAUAUAGAAGUGAGUUCCUGAAGGAGCUAGAGUCCUAACAUAUCUUAAUCUUCUAUAUACCACACAUUUUCUACAUACAUUAUAUUCAUGUUUGUGUAUAAAAAUAAACACACCCAUUUAGAACUGUAUGUUUUAUGUAACAAUUCAGAGGUAUAUUGCUUUUACUAUUGUUUUAGUGUGCAGUGAAUAGCUUCCACACAAUGUACCAUUUGGGAAGUAAGUUAACUUUUUGGUUUCAUGACAUUCAUUAUUUGGGGAAUAUUCAUUACUUUGUGGUUAUUCCAUCUGACAUUUCUUCCAUGCCAUUUUUUUUUUUUUUUUUGUCUCUUCAUUUCCCAGAGUUUUACUGUGUUGCCCAGGCUGGAGUGCAGUGGUGCAAUCAUAGCUCACUAUGGCCUCAAACUCCUGGGCUCAAGCCACUCUCCCGCCUCAGCCUCCUGAGUAGCUGGGACUACAGGUGUGCACCAUCAUGCCCUGCUCCUUCUAGCAUUUUAUUUCCAUGCCUAUUAGGCCACAAAUAUGAAAUUUCUUUUAGCUAAUGACAAUAACUGUGUAACUCCUUACACUUUGUCUCUUUCUUUAACUACCAGGAAACCAGGAAUUCUAUCUGCAGCUCAGUUUUAGAAAUAUGUUUUAGUUUCUUGCCCUGGAACACCUUUAUUCUUCUGUCGAUUAUUUUUCUUUUUCUUAUUUUACAGUCUCAUGGCUAAUGGCUUCUAUUGUGCUUUUUUGCCGGAAAUGGGGUUUCCACUGGGAGUUCGCAUUGAAUAAGCCCAGGUAAUCCUCCUGGAGGAUAAGAGAUGAUGUGGAGAGAACCCUAGCUGGGCGCCAGUCCCAAGCAGCACAGGCACGAGUGUGGACACCUUACACCACCCAGUCUGGGUGGAGAAUUGAGGUUACUGCCAUCCAGUGAGCUGUUUUCCAAGGACUGCAGCAGAAUAGCCAAACUAAUCUCAAACCCAAAUUACUGGCCAUAAGCAAAGCGAGCAAACAAUAUAGCUAGUACUUUAAAAUAUUUAGAUUGAGAUAUUUUAGUGUAACUUGUUUCUCAGAAGUAGAUAACUAAUAAAAUAAUUCAGGUGUGAGAAAACACAACUGAAAUCAAUGGUCAAGGGAAACAUAAUUAUACAUUUAUUAUUACUGGGUGUGGGAACAGUACAUUGAAAUUAAUAGCAAAUGAGGAUUAAUUCAUUCUUAGCAAUUUUGAGGACAAUAAAAUAUUUUCUGCUUAUAAAAGAAAGACUAUCUGCCUCUGAUAAAAAUGUCAGUUCCAUAAGAAAGGCUGCCCCAUGGGGACAUUGACUGUUUCCCAGACAUAACAAAAUUCUGUUUUUAGAGAUAGACCCACAAGUAUAUGGGGAAAAAAAUUAUGUGAUUUAGGAUAAAGAGUACACAGAAGUUCAGUAGGGAAAGGUUGAUAUAUUCAAUAAAUGAUGCUGAGUGAAUUGGAUAUUAAGUAGAAAAAAUGAAUAUUGACCCCAAUUACACAUAAUACAUAAGCAUCAGUUACUAGCACAUUAUAUACCUAAAUGUAAAGGUCAAAUAAUAAUAGUUCUAGUACAAAAUAGAGAAGAAUAUCUUCAUGCCCUUACGGUAUAGAAAGAUUUCAAUAAUCAGACAAAGAAAGCACCAAUCAAAAAGGAAAGUUUCGAGAGAUUGAACUUUACAUUUUAGAACGUCUUUUCAUGAAAGAAUUAAUAUGAACACAGUUAAUAUGUGUUCAUAAUAUGAACAAUUAAUAUGAACACAGUUGGGUACUUGAUGAUACAAAGAAAUUAUCUUUUUCAUAUUGCAAAAUGAUGUUUUUUAAAAUCACUAUAUUUAGAGAUGAAUACUGAAAUAUAUACAGAUGAAAUAACUGAAAAAAAAAAAACUAUGCCAGAGAAGGAAAAAUGGAUGGCAUGUGUAUUAGUCCGUUUUCACGUUGCUGAUAAAGACAUACCCGAGACUGGGCAAUUUACAAAGGAAAAAGGCUGAAUGGAGAUCUCACAGUCUACGUGGCUGGGGAGGCCUCACAAUCAUGGCAGAAGGCAAGGAGGAGCAAGUCACAUCUUAUGUGGAUGGUGGCAGGCAAGGACAGAGCUUGUGCAGAGAAACUCCCAUUUUUAAAACCAUCAGAUCUCGUGAGACUUAUUCACUAUCUCGAGAAUAGCACUGAAAAGACCCAACCCCAGGAUUCAAUCACCUCCCACAGGAUACCUCCCACAACAUGUGGGAAUUCUGGGAGUUACAAGAUGAGAUUUGGGUGGGGACACAGAGCAAACCAUAUCAGCAUGAUCUACACCAGUGUUUAAAAAUUAAGUGUAUGGAAAUUAAACAACCAACAGUAGUAGGAGGCAGAGAAAAGUAAAUAUGACUGGUAUAGACAUCUCCAUAACAAAAUUACAUACUUUUUCUCAUAAAGUUAUUUCUAGUACAUAUAUUAUUUUAUUUUUUACAGUUAAUCAAUAAUCUAUGCUGACUUUCACUUGGUGGGCAAUGAAAAAAUACACAAAAUUUUGAAAAAUCAAAGUCUGGGAUGGAUGCAUUUCUCAGGAAAGAAAAUGAGAAAUCAUAGCCAGGUGUGGUGGCUCAUGCCUGUAAUCCCAGCACU